UCCAGACUCCUACGGGAGGCAGCAGUGAGGAAUAUUGGUCAAUGGCCGAGAGGCUGAACCAGCCAAGUCGCGUGAGGGAAGACGGCCCUACGGGUUGUAAACCUCUUUUGUCGGGGAGCAAAGCGAGUCACGUGUGACUCAUUGAGAGUACCCGAAGAAAAAGCAUCGGCUAACUCCGUGCCAGCAGCCGCGGUAAUACGGAGGAUGCGAGCGUUAUCCGGAUUUAUUGGGUUUAAAGGGUGCGUAGGCGGAAUGCCAAGUCAGCGGUAAAAUCGCGGGGCUCAACCUCGCUCCGCCGUUGAAACUGGCGUUCCUGAGUGGGCGAGAAGUAUGCGGAAUGCGUGGUGUAGCGGUGAAAUGCAUAGAUAUCACGCAGAACUCCGAUUGCGAAGGCAGCAUACCGGCGCCCAACUGACGCUGAAGCACGAAAGCGUGGGGAUCGAACAGGAUUAGAUACCCGCGUAGGC
rnacentral:rRNA from 1 species